UAAUACGGGGGGGGCAAGCGUUGUUCGGAAUUACUGGGCGUAAAGGGCGCGUAGGCGGCCUGCUAAGUCGGACGUGAAAUCCCCCGGCUCAACCGGGGAACUGCGUCCGAUACUGGUGGGCUCGAAUCCGGGAGAGGGAUGUGGAAUUCCAGGUGUAGCGGUGAAAUGCGUAGAUAUCUGGAGGAACACCGGUGGCGAAGGCGGCAUCCUGGACCGGUAUUGACGCUGAUGCGCGAAAGCCAGGGGAGCAAACG
rnacentral:rRNA from 1 species